rnacentral:rRNA from 1 species
AACGAACGCUGGCGGCAUGCCUAACACAUGCAAGUCGAACGAUUGCCUUCGGGUGGUAGUGGAGCACGGGUGCGUAACGCGGGGGAAUCUGCCCUUAGGUUCGGAUUAACAGCUGGAUACGGCUGCUAAUACCGGAUGAUAUCGCGAGAUCAAAGAUUUAUCGCCUGAGGAUGAGCCCGCGUUGGAUUAGGUAGUUGGUGGGGUAAAGGCCUACCAAGCCGACGAUCCAGAGCUGGUCUGAGAGGAUGAUCAGCCACACUGGGACUGAGACACGGCCCAGACUCCUGGGGGAGGCGGGAAAGGGGAAUAUAGGACAACGGGCGCAAGCCUGAUCCAGCAAGGCCGGGUGAGUGAUGUAGGCGCUAGAGAUGUAAAGCUCUUUUACCCGGGAAGAUAAUGACGGUACCGAGAGAAUAAGCCCCGGCUAACUCCGUG